AUGCACGCUGGCGGCGUGCCUAAUACAUGCAAGUCGCGCGAACAGACGAGGAGCUUGCUCCUCUGACGUUAGCGGCGGACGGGUGAGUAACACGUGGAUAACCUACCUAUAAGACUGGGAUAACUUCGGGAAACCGGAGCUAAUACCGGAUAAUAUAUUGAACCGCAUGGUUCAAUAGUGAAAGACGGUUUUGCUGUCACUUAUAGAUGGAUCCGCGCCGCAUUAGCUAGUUGGUAAGGUAACGGCUUACCAAGGCAACGAUGCGUAGCCGACCUGAGAGGGUGAUCGGCCACACUGGAACUGAGACACGGUCCAGACUCCUACGGGAGGCAGCAGUAGGGAAUCUUCCGCAAUGGGCGAAAGCCUGACAGAGCAACGCCGCGUGAGUGAUGAAGGUCUUCGGAUCGUAAAACUCUGUUAUUAGGGAAGAACAAAUGUGUAAGUAACUAUGCACGUCUUGACGGUACCUAAUCAGAAAGCCACGGCUAACUACGUG
rnacentral:rRNA from 1 species